CUCAUAUCGGUGCUCACGUCUUCCACCGCUCCGUGCAAAGUUUUUUCCUUGGUACCACCGUCCCGUAUAAGGGAGUGGAGCGGACCUGAGUUUUAUUUAAAUUAACGAGGUCUCGGGGACCCGGCCUUGGUGCGUGAUAACUAUGGAUCAAGGUCGCCUUUGUAAAUGCUGACACGAUGUACAAAGCGUAGUCGAUAUGAUAUUAUAUUACAAUAAUUCUUACAACUUCAAUGCGACCGUGGAGGGCAGAGAGGUCCUUGAAUGUUCCCUACGGUGGCCUAUGAUUGUCGUCCCUCACACGUUGCGAUGUUCUUCCUGGAGCAUACACUCGUACCCGGUGACAUUUUUGACAUUUUAUAUUAUGUGCAUAUAUUUAUCGGUUUACCGGUUUACGAUAUGCUUUGACUUGACGUUCGACCACAAAUCCGCAAUCAUAAAUAAUACCUAUAGCAGUUAAACCUAGCGCUCAUGUUCUCCGUCAUCUUUGACAGCUGCUAACAAUU